GAUGAACGCUAGCGAUAGGCUUAACACAUGCAAGUCGAGGGGCAGCAUGAACUUAGCUUGCUAAGUUUGAUGGCGACCGGCGCACGGGUGAGUAACGCGUAUGCAACUUACCUAUCAGAGGAGAAUAGCUCAUCGAAAGAUGAAUUAAUGCUCCAUAAAACAGGGGUCCCGCAUGGGAAUAUUUGUUAAAGAUUCAUCGCUGAUAGAUAGGCAUGCGUUCCAUUAGGCAGUUGGCGGGGUAAACGGCCCACCAAACCGACGAUGGAUAGGGGUUCUGAGAGGAAGGUCCCCCACAUUGGUACUGAGACACGGACCAAA
rnacentral:rRNA from 1 species